GGUAGAGAGAGCCCGGCCGCCGCGACGUGGCCCUGCCACGACGUGAGGAAAGUCCCCCCACCGUCCGGACAGGUGGCCGGACGCAAGUCCGGAGCGGGAGACCGCUGGCUCUGGAACAGAAACGAGACCCCUCGCCCCGAGCGAUGAGGCGCGGACGGUGACGCGAGUCACCGCCCGGCGCGAACGGCGUGAGCCGCGAGCGCGCGAACCGACCCGCAAGGGAAGGAAGCUGACCCGCCGAGCGCGUGUGGUCGCAUCCGCGACCACGCCCGGGCACGCGGCGCAGCCGCGUGUCGACGGGCGAGAACGGAUGGAACGGCGAAUCCCCACCGGUGCAAGUCCGCGCCGCUAGGUAGUCCGGACGAGGCGACGGACGCUCAGCCGAAUGCCGGGACGAACAGAAGGGGGCUUACUCCUCUCAACC
rnacentral:RNase_P_RNA from 1 species